UGCUUUUGAUUAUUUUAGCGGCGGACGGGUGAGUAACGUGUGGGUAACCUGCCUUUUACUGGGGAAUAAUCGUUGGAAACGACGACUAAUACCGCAUACGGUUCUUGGAAGGCAUCUUCUAAGAAAGAAAGGAUUUAUUCGGUAAAAGAUGGGCCCGCAUCUGAUUAGCUAGUUGGUGAGAUAAUAGCCCACCAAGGCAACGAUCAGUAGCCGACCUGAGAGGGUGACCGGCCACAUUGGGACUGAGACACGGCCCAAACUCCUACGGGAGGCAGCAGUGGGGAAUAUUGCACAAUGGGCGAAAGCCUGAUGCAGCAACGCCGCGUGAAGGAAGACGGUUUUCGGAUUGUAAACUUCUAUCAAUAGGGAAGAAAGAAAUGACGGUACCUAAAUAAGAAGCCCCGGCUAACUACGUGCCAGCAGCCGCGGUAAUACGUAGGGGGCAAGCGUUAUCCGGAAUUACUGGGUGUAAAGGGAGAGUAGGCGGCAAGGUAAGCGAUAUGUGAAAGCCUUAGGCUUAACUUAAGGAUUGCAUAACGAACUAUCUAGCUAGAGUACAGGAGAGGAAAGCGGAAUUCCUAGUGUAGCGGUGAAAUGCGUAGAUAUUAGGAAGAACACCAGUGGCGAAGGCGGCUUUCUGGACUGAAACUGACGCUGAGGCUCGAAAGCGUGGGGAGCGAACAGGAUUAGAUACCCUGGUAGUCCACGCUGUAAACGAUGAGUGCUAGGUGUCGGGGAGGAAUUCCCGGUGCC
rnacentral:rRNA from 1 species